rnacentral:lncRNA from 1 species
GACGUCUUCGACCUGCAGGGCGCACCACAAUAAGCAAUUGAGCAUGCAUUAAUGCAAAUAGGUGGAGGCAGAGCACCCCGGUUGCAGUGUGAGAUUUGCGGGUACUGACCAUCUAGCCGUGGGUGGCGAGGGAAACAUUGGGGUUGGGCCGAAAUGAUGCGGCACGCCAUCGAGGUCUGUGCCGCACACGGUCUGUCAUCCUUGUAAACGUUUCUAUUAAGUAAGCAUUUCACACAUAAUAUCAGCAUUUCUCUUAAGUCAUGAAAUGACAUUUCACAUUUCACCUCAUAAUAUCAGCUAAUUAGAAGAUUAAGUAAAUGAGCAUUGCACCUCAUAAUAUCAGCAUUUCUCUCAAGUCCUGAAAUAAAAUGAAAUGGCAUUUCACGUGUAUUCAAGUAGCUCUUCACACUUCACCUAUUCACACAGAUAUAAUGAAUUAGUGGAGUUGGACAUAUUUCCCGAUCUACAGAGCUUAAUAAUGUGUGCAUCACAGUUAGUUUUUCACCUCGCAAAUAUAUGACUAUAUGAGAAUACACACCUUGGAAAAUAUUUCCAAAAAUAAGAACUGCCGUCGGGAUGUCUUCGACCUACAGGGCGCACCACAAUAAGCAAUUGAGCAUGCAUUAAUGCAAAUAGGUGGAGGCAGAGCACCCCGGUGGCAGUGUGAGAUUUGUGGGUACUUACCAUCUGGCCGUGGGUGGCGAGGGAAACAUUGGGGUUGGGCCGAAAUGAUGCGGCACGCCAUCGAGGUCUGUGCCGCACACGGUCUGUCAUCCUUGUAAACGUUUCUAUUAAGUAAGUGAGCAUUUCACACAUAAUAUCAGCAUUUCUCUUAAGUCGUGAAAUGACAUUUCACAUUUCACCUCAUAAUAUCAGCUAAUUAGAAGAUUAAGUAAAUGAGCAUUGCACCUCAUAGUAUCAGCAUUUCUCUCAAGUCCUGAAAUAAAAUGAAAUGGCAUUUCACGUGUAUUCAAGUAGCUCUUCACACUUCACCUGUUCACACAGAUAUAAUGAAUUAGUGGAGUUGGACAUAUUUCCCUAUCUACAGAGCUUAAUAAUGUGUGCAUCACAGUUAGUUUUGCACCUCGCAAAUAUAUGACUAUAUGAGAAUACACACCUUGGAAAAUAUUUCCAAAAAUAAGAACUGCUAACAAAAGGCUAUCUGUUUUUUCUUAAGAAAUAGUUUCUUAAGUUUCUGCAGUAUUGUCUGGGUAAACAGAUACCGCAUAAGCACUUCCCCAAAUGCACGGGGUAAGCACAGUCAAGAGUUUUGCCAAAAUGUCUUCAUGAAGAACACGUUUAAUUUCAAAUAUCCACAAGAAUCUAUUGGAGGCAUAGCCAUGUAUGGUGUGACAGUAAGGAACAUCUACAACUCAAUUAGUUCUUGAAAUAAAAUUAGGCAGCGGUUCUGAAGACUGGCAGUUCAUUCAAAAAAUUCAGCCACCUCAGGAGUAUAAAGGUAACAGAUGACGACUAUCCAAAAGGCCAUGUAACACAAGAAAGGGGUCUACCGCACGCACAUAUACUACUUUGGCAAACAAAGAAAAACCGUGUGAUCUAUCCAGGAACAAAAAGCCUAAUGUAUUGAUUUGGCAAACAAAGAAAGGGGUCUAGCGCACGCACAUAUACUUAUGUAAUGAUUUUGAUCCUGGCCUUUGCGAUAUCAUUUUUUUGCUCAAAAAGACUGUCUAGCUCCAACUAUGGCUCGAACCACUAUUUUCAGAAAAAGAAUACCAACUUAGUCUUUGGAAAAACAGUAUAACGAGUUAACAACACAGCAAAAUAUAAAUAUUUACCAUCAAAGACUUAGGACUGAAUUUGCUGUUGGGGGGUCUGCAACUCGUAGAAUAUGCAUCAUCAGCAUUCUCCUUAACAACUCGGUAUUGAAACUGUACAGAUCAGCAGAGCAAACACAUUAUCCU